rnacentral:rRNA from 1 species
UGGGGAAUUUUGGACAAUGGGCGAAAGCCUGAUCCAGCAAUGCCGCGUGUGUGAAGAAGGCCUUCGGGUUGUAAAGCACUUUUGUCCGGAAAGAAAUCCUUGGCUCUAAUACAGUCGGGGGAUGACGGUACCGGAAGAAUAAGCACCGGCUAACUACGUGCCAGCAGCCGCGGUAAUACGUAGGGUGCAAGCGUUAAUCGGAAUUACUGGGCGUAAAGCGUGCGCAGGCGGUUUGCUAAGACCGAUGUGAAAUCCCCGGGCUCAACCUGGGAACUGCAUUGGUGACUGGCAGGCUAGAGUAUGGCAGAGGGGGGUAGAAUUCCACGUGUAGCAGUGAAAUGCGUAGAGAUGUGGAGGAAUACCGAUGGCGAAGGCAGCCCCCUGGCAAGUACUGACGCUCAUGCACGAAAGCGUGGGGAGCAAACAGGAUUAAUACCCUGGUAGUCCACGCCCUAAANGAUGUCAACUAGUUGUUGGGGAUUCAUUUCCUUAGUAACGUAGCUAACGCGUGAAGUUGACCGCCUGGGGAGUACGGUCGCAAGAUUAAAACUCAAAUAAUUGACGGGGUCAUGCUGUUUCCU